GUGGGGGAUAUUGCGCAAUGGGGGCAACCCUGACGCAGCAACGCCGCGUGAAGGAUGAAGGUUUUCGGAUUGUAAACUUCUUUUAUUAAGGACGAAAUUUGACGGUACUUAAUGAAUAAGCUCCGGCUAACUACGUGCCAGCAGCCGCGGUAAUACGUAGGGAGCAAGCGUUGUCCGGAUUUACUGGGUGUAAAGGGUGCGUAGGCGGCUUUGCAAGUCAGAUGUGAAAUCUAUGGGCUCAACCCAUAAACUGCAUUUGAAACUGUAGAGCUUGAGUGAAGUAGAGGCAGGCGGAAUUCCCCGUGUAGCGGUGAAAUGCGUAGAGAUGGGGAGGAACACCAGUGGCGAAGGCGGCCUGCUGGGCUUUAACUGACGCUGAGGCACGAAAGCGUGGGUAGCAAACAGG
rnacentral:rRNA from 1 species